GGGAUGGAGAGUGAGCUGGUGAGGUAGACUGAACAGGGAUGGAGAGUGAGCUGGUGAGGUAGACUGAACAGGGAUGGAGAGUGAGCUGGUGAGGUAGACUGAACAGGGAUGGAGAGUGAGCUGGUGAGGUAGACUGAACAGGGAUGGAGAGUGAGGUAGACUGAACAGGGAUGGAGAGUGAGAUGGUGAGGUAGACUGAACAGGGAUGGAGAGUGAGCUGGUGAGGUAGACUGAACAGGAAUGGAGAGUGAGAUGGUGAGGUAGACUGAACAGGGAUGGAGAGUGAGGUAGACUGAACAGGGAUGGAGAGUGAGGUAGACUGAACAGGGAUGGAGAGUGAGCUGGUGAGGUAGACUGAACAGGGAUGGAGAGUGAGCUGGUGAGGUAGACUGAACAGGGAUGGAGAGUGAGGUAGACUGAACAGGGAUGGAGAGUGAGGUAGACUGAACAGGGAUGGAGAGUGAGCUGGUGAGGUAGACUGAACAGGGAUGGAGAGUGAGCUGGUGAGGUAGACUGAACAGGGAUGGAGAGUGAGCUGGUGAGGUAGACUGAACAGGGAUGGAGAGUGAGCUGGUGAGGUAGACUGAACAGGGAUGGAGAGGGAGCUGGUGAGGUAGACUGAACAGGGAUGGAGAGUGAGCUGGUGAGGUAGGCUGAACAGGGAUGGAGAGUGAGCUGGUGAGGUAGGCUGCAGUGGGUUUGCUGGUCAAUACAUAUACUGAACAUGUAACCACAGUAAUGGUGGCCAGUAUAUCAAUGAAUACAAAUUUAAUAUUGAA
ensembl:lncRNA